CCUGGUUGAUCCUGCCAGUAGUCAUAUGCUUGUCUCAAAGAUUAAGCCAUGCAUGUCUCAGUGCAAGCCAAAUUAAGGUGAAACCGCGAAUGGCUCAUUAAAUCAGUUAUGGUUCCUUAGAUCGUACGACAAGACUUGGAUAACUGUGGUAAUUGCAGUGCUAAUACUUGCAAACAGAGUCCCGGCCAGAAAUGGAAGGGAUGCUUUUAUUAGAUCAAAACCAAUCGGCCGGCUUGUCAUGUCCGUUUGCUUUGGUGACUCUGGAUAACUUUGAGCUGAUCGCACGGUCCUCGUACCGGCGACGCAUCUUUCAAAUGUCUGCCUUAUCAACUGUCGAUGGUAGGUUCUGCGCCUACCAUGGUUGUAACGGGUAACGGGGAAUCAGGGUUCGAUUCCGGAGAGGGAGCCUGAGAAACGGCUACCACAUCCAAGGAAGGCAGCAGGCGCGCAAAUUACCCACUCCCAGCACGGGGAGGUAGUGACGAAAAAUAACGAUACGGGACUCAUCCGAGGCCCCGUAAUCGGAAUGAGUACACUUUAAACCCUUUAACGAGUAUCCAUUGGAGGGCAAGUCUGGUGCCAGCAGCCGCGGUAAUUCCAGCUCCAAUAGCGUAUAUUAAAGUUGUUGAGGUUAUAAAGCUCGUAGUUGGAUUUGUUUCACACGCUGUCAGUUCACCGUUCGUCAGUGUUUAACUGGCAUGCCCGUGCGGACGUCCUGCCGGUGGAUGCGGUCGGCCGUGGGCCUCUGGUCUGCGCGUCGGCGGUCCGAUGCAAUCCUACCGUGGUGCUUUUCACCGAGUGUCGAGGAGGGCCGGCAUGNUACCGCGGUGCUCUUCACCGAGUGUCGAGGUGGGCCGGCACGUUUACUUUGAACAAAUUAGAGUGCUCAAAGCAGGCAGUGGUUCGCCUGAAUAUUGUGUGCAUGGAAUAAUGGAAUAGGACCUCGGUUCUAUUUUGUUGGUUUUCGGAACAUGAGGUAAUGAUUAAUAAGGACAGACGGGGGCAUUCGUAUUGAGACGUUAGAGGUAAAAUUCUUGGAUCGUCGCAAGACGAACCUAAGCGAAAGCAUUUGCCAUGAGUCUAAUCAUUAAAUCAAGAACGAAAGUUUUAGGGGUGUUUUUGAUAGGGCACAGCGCCCCUCCCUUAAGGGUUAGAAGGCUGAAAAAAAGGAUAGCAACCCUUUGAACCUUCCUCUUUCGANGGACCUCGGUUCUAUUUUGUUGGUUUUCGGAACUUGAGGUAAUGAUUAAUAGGGACAGACGGGGGCAUUCGUAUUACGACGUUAGAGGUGAAAUUCUUGGAUCGUCGCAAGACGAACCUAUCGCUUUCGUAAACGGUACUCAGAAUGAUAAAAUCAAGAACGAAAGUUUGAGGGGUGUUUUUGAAGGCGCGCAGCUCCCCUCCCUUAAGGGGUAGAAGGCUGGAACAAAGUUUGUGC
rnacentral:rRNA from 1 species